GUUAAGUCGCGCAACGAGCGCAACCCCUGUCCUUAGUUGCCAUCAUUAAGUUGGGAACUCUAAGGAGACCGCCGGUGACAAACCGGAGGAAGGUGGGGAUGACGUCAAGUCAUCAUGGCCUUUAUGGCCAGGGCUACACACGUGCUACAAUGGCAGGUACAGAGGGAAGCCAACCAGCAAUGGGGAGCCAAUCCCAGAAAGCCUGUCUUAGUCCGGAUUGGAGUCUGCAACUCGACUCCAUGAAGCUGGAAUCGCUAGUAAUCGCAGAUCAGCAUUGCUGCGGUGAAUACGUUCCCGGGUCUUGUACACACCGCCU
rnacentral:rRNA from 1 species